rnacentral:rRNA from 1 species
CCUACGGGGGGCAGCAGUGAGGAAUAUUGCACAAUGGGGGAAACCCUGAUGCAGCAACGCCGCGUGAGCGAAGAAGGCCUUCGGGUCGUAAAGCUCUUUUCUGGGGGAUGAGGAAGGACAGUACCCCAGGAACAAGUCUCGGCUAACUACGUGCCAGCAGCCGCGGUAAGACGUAGGAGGCAAGCGUUAUCCGGAUUUAUUGGGCGUAAAGGGCAAGUAGGCGGUUCUCAAAGUUGGGCGUGACAUCUCCCGGCUCAACCGGGAGGGUGCGUUCAAAACUAGAGGACUAGAGGGCAGGAGAGGGAAGUGGAAUUCCCAGUGUAGCGGUGGAAUGCUCAGAUAUUGGGAAGAACACCAGUGGCGAAGGCGGCUUCCUGGCCUGCACCUGACGCUGAGAGGCGAAAGCUAGGGUAGCAAACGGGCUUAGAUACCCCUGUAGUC